rnacentral:rRNA from 1 species
GACGAACGCUGGCGGCGUGCUUAACACAUGCAAGUCGAGCGAUGAGGCUUCCUUCGGGAAGUGGAUUAGCGGCGGACGGGUGAGUAACACGUGGGUAACCUGCCUCAAAGUGGGGGAUAGCCUUCCGAAAGGAAGAUUAAUACCGCAUAAUAUGAGAGAAUCGCAUGAUUUUCUUAUCAAAGAUUUAUUGCUUUGAGAUGGACCCGCGGCGCAUUAGCUAGUUGGUAAGGUAACGGCUUACCAAGACAACGAUGCGCAGCCGACCUGAGAGGGUGAUCGGCCACAUUGGAACUGAGACACGGUCCAGACUCCUACGGGAGGCAGCAGUGGGGAAUAUUGCGCAAUGGGGGAAACCCUGACGCAGCAACGCCGCGUGGGUGAUGAAGGUCUUCGGAUUGUAAAGCCCUGUUUUCUAGGACGAUAAUGACGGUACUAGAGGAGGAAGCCACGGCUAACUACGUGCCAGCCGCCGCCGUAACAC